CGACCGGCGCACGGUGAGUAACGCGUAUGCAACUUACCUAUCAGAGGGGGAGUACCCGGCGAAAGUCGGACUAAUACCGCAUGAAGCAGGGGCCCCGCAUGGGGAUAUUUGCUAAAGAUUCAUCGCUGAUAGAUAGGCAUGCGUUCCAUUAGGCAGUUGGCGGGGUAACGGCCCACCAAACCGACGAUGGAUAGGGGUUCUGAGAGGAAGGUCCCCCACAUUGGUACUGAGACACGGACCAA
rnacentral:rRNA from 1 species